rnacentral:lncRNA from 1 species
UUUUGAUUUAUUAAAAGGAGAGAUUCUUUAUUGGGUCAAUAUGCCUCGUAAAUUGAAUAAUAAUAAUAAUGUACAUUGGCGAAGUAAUAUUUAGUUGAUGGAAUCCAUGUCUCGGUUAGAGAUUGAUGAUACACCUUUAUGAAAGCUUAUAAGUUUUAAUGUGUAAACCCGGCCAGUGGAUUUUGUAUCCGACACAUGAAAAAGGUUAAGCGAAAGUCUAAAGGAAAUAAUCAAUAAAUUAAAUCCUCAGUAAUUUAAUUUAAUUGAUUCGUAUCUGAGUCUUAACAUGUGGAGUUAAAUAAGAUUUAAU